GUCCUUUAGAGUUUAUUAUUUAAGGUCUAGCCUGCCCACUGAAUUGUUUUAAAUGGCCGCAGUAAAUUGACUGUGCAAAGGUAGCAUAAUCAUUAGUUUUUUAAUUAAAAGCUUGUAUGAAUGGUUUAACGAAAUAAAAUCUGUCUCUAAAUAAUAAAAAGAAUUUAAUUUUUAAGUUAAAAAGCUUAAAUUUAAUUAAAAGACGAGAAGACCCUAUAGAUCUUUAUAUUAAAAUUAAUAAUUUUAUUUAAGAUUUUUUACAAAAUUAUUAUUUUUAUUAUUAUAUUGGGGUAAUAGGAAGAUUAAAAAAAUUCUUUUUAAUUUUAAUCAAUAAUAAUUGUUUAAUUGAUCCUUAAAUUAAGAUAAUAAGAUUAAGUUACCUUAGGGAUAACAGCGUAAUUUUUUUAGAGAGUUCUUAUCGAUAAAAAAGUUUGCGACCUCGAUGUUGGAUUAAAAAUUAUUCCAGGUGUAGAAGUUUGGAAAUUUUGGUCUGUUCGACCAUUAAAUUUUU
rnacentral:rRNA from 1 species